UCGAGCCGCCAUUCCGGUUUUGAAAUAAUUUCAACUUCAAUCGUAAAUAUUUUUAUGAACUUCAUCAGUUUUGAAAAGUAAUCCGUUUGGCUGAAGCGUUUAAAAUUAUGUGAUGUAAUUUAUUUUUAGUUUCAACCACGUCAACAAUCAGACCAAAUAUGCUCUUGACAGUACAACUAAACCCCGCUGGCUCGGACACCGUCAGUGCUCGAGAAAGUGUUCGACCCAUCGGGUAGUUCGACCUAACCAUCCUGUCAAUAUCGUGUAAGUGUAACUCCGGACUUUUGGUUCGAGUAUUGCGGCGUAUACGACACUUCCACGUCCCGCCCAAUGAGACUAUAUUGCAUAUAAACUGAAUAACGUAACAGACAACUGCAAGAAGAAAAUGGCAAGACCGCAAUACGUUAUUGUUGAUGCAAUGCUGGUUUUCUUGAUGACCACAUUUAUACAAGUCAGUGACUCUGUACGUACAUGUACAAACCUGGACAAUUUCCCAUUUCUUCGAAGGAAUACACAACUAAAUAACACAGGAAUAGAUGUGCUAGAAGGUCUUGGACUCGUGGAAUGUGCGGCCCAAUGUAAGCUCCGUAAAAAGUGCAGAUCAUUCAGCUUUCAGCAUUCCAGUGGAGAUUGUAAACUGUAUGAAAUUACAAUCGAGCAAGUCGAAAACAAUGUUGUCUUAAAGAUUGGGACUGAUGCCAGCAAUAUAGACGACUGGCCUUCUAGAAUAGCUGGCCCUUGUGCAGACCACUCUUGUUCCAUCAACGAUGUAUGUGAACCGACCAGUCGGAACUGAAACAAAUGCGUGACAGUAUAUUGUCCGUCUCCUCCAGCUGUUACAAACGCCACGGCUAACUUCACGACAAGCCACGAGACGACCAAAGUCGGAAGUCGUCUGUCGUACACGUGUGACGUCAACUUCCACCCAGUGGGUAACAGAACCUGUCUCCCAGACGGAACGUGGUCCAACUUCACAUGUGAACCGGGUUAGUUUGACCGCCAUCAUACUUCCUGCAUACACAAACACAAACAGAACCUGUCUCCCAGACGGAACGUGGUCCAACUUCACAUGUGAACCGGGUUAGUUUGACCGCCAUUAUACUUCCUGCAUUCACAAACACAAACAGAACCUGUCUCCCAGACGGAACGUGGUCCGACUUCACAUGUGAACCGGGUUAGUUUGACCGCCAUCAUACAUCCUGCAUACACAAACACAAACAGAACCUGUCUCCCAGACGGAACGUGGUCCGACUUCACAUGUGAACCGGGUUAGUUUGACCGCCAUCAUACUUCCUGCAUACACAAACACAAACAGAACCUGUCUCCCAGACGGAACGUGGUCCGACUUCACAUGUGAACCGGGUUAGUUUGACCGCCAUCAUACUUCCUGCAUACACAAACACAAACAGAACCUGUCUCCCAGACGGAACGUGGUCCGACUUCACAUGUGAACCGGGUUAGUUUGACCGCCAUCAUACUUCCUGCAUACACAAACACAAACGUGGUGCGACGUAGCCCAGUGGUAAAGCGCUCGCUUGAUGCGCGGUCGGUCUGGGAUCGAUCGCCGUCGGUGGGUCCAAUAGGCUAUUUCACGUUCUAGCAAAUGCAUCAAAGUUUGUUUUGUUUAACGACACCACUAGAGCACAUUGAU